CCUACGGGUGGCAGCAGUAAGGAAUCUUGGUCAAUGGGCGCGAGCCUGAACCAGCCAAGUCGCGUGAAGGAUGACUGCCCUACGGGUUGUAAACUUCUUUUAUAAUGGAAUAAAGUGAGGCACGUGUGCCUUUUUGUAUGUACUUUAUGAAUAAGGAACGUCUCACUACGUGCCAGCAGCCGCGGGAAUACGGAGGAUCCGAGCGUUCUCCGGAUUUAUUGUGUUUAAAGGGAGCGUAGAUGGGUUGUUAAGUCAGUUGUGAAAGUUUGCGGCUCAACCGUAAAAUUGCAAUUGAUACUGGCAGUCUUGAGUGCAGUUGAGGUAGGCGGAAUGCGUGGUGUAGCGGUGAAAUGCUUAGAUAUCACGAAGAACUCCGAUUGCGAAGGCAGCUUACUGAACUGCCACUGACAUUGAUGCUCGAAAGUGUGGGUAUCGAACAGGAUUAGAUACCCCUGUAGUC
rnacentral:rRNA from 1 species